rnacentral:rRNA from 1 species
GGAGUUUGGACCGUGUCUCAGUUCCAAUGUGGCCGAUCACCCCCUCAGACCGGCUACUGAUCGUCGCCUUGGUGAGCCGUUACCCCACCAACUAGCUAAUCAGACGCAGGCCCAUCUCUAAGUGAUAGCUUACAAGUAGAGGCCAUCUUUAAUAUCUCCACCAUGCGGCAAAGAUACAACAUUCGGUAUUAGCAGAACUUUCGCUCUGUUGUCCCCAUCUUAGAGGCAGGUUGCCUACGCGUUACUCACCCGUUUGCCACUAGACUUUUCAAAAGCAAGCUUUCAAUCAGUCCCGUUCGACUUGCAUGUGUUAAGCACGCCGCCAGCGUUCGCCCUCGAGCCACUGAUCAAACUCU